rnacentral:rRNA from 1 species
UACGGAAGGGGCAAGCGUUGUCCGGAAUUAUUGGGCGUAAAGAGCUCGUAGGCGGUGUGUCACGUCGGCCGUGAAAACCUGCAGCUUAACUGUGGGCGUGCGGUCGAUACGGGCAUCACUGGAGUUCGGCAGGGGAGACUGGAAUUCCUGGUGUAGCGGUGAAAUGCGCAGAUAUCAGGAGGAACACCGGUGGCGAAGGCGGGUCUCUGGGCCGAUACUGACGCUGAGGUGCGAAAGCGUGGGGAGCAAACAGG